rnacentral:rRNA from 1 species
AGACCCGAAACCCGGUGAUCUAGCCAUGGGCAGGUUGAAGGUUGGGUAACACUAACUGGAGGACCGAACCGACUAAUGUUGAAAAAUUAGCGGAUGACCUGUGGCUGGGGGUGAAAGGCCAAUCAAACCGGGAGAUAGCUGGUUCUCCCCGAAAGCUAUUUAGGUAGCGCCUCGUGAAUUCAUCUCCGGGGGUAGAGCACUGUUUCGGCUAGGGGGCCAUCCCGGCUUACCAACCCGAUGCAAACUGCGAAUACCGGAGAAUGUUAUCACGGGAGACACACGGCGGGUGCUAACGUCCGUCGUGAAGAGGGAAACAACCCAGACCGCCAGCUAAGGUCCCAAAGUCAUGGUUAAGUGGGAAACGAUGUGGGAAGGCCCAGACAGCCAGGAUGUUGGCUUAGAAGCAGCCAUCAUUUAAAGAAAGCGUAAUAGCUCACUGGUCGAGUCGGCCUGCGCGGAAGAUGUAACGGGGCUAAACCAUGCACCGAAGCUGCGGCAGCGAACGUAUCACUUAAAGCGAUUCAGCGGAUGACGAUUGACGGAGCGAAGCGACGUCAAAGCGUAUACAAAGUCGAGUCGGUUUAAGGAUACGUUCGUUGGGUAGGGGAGCGUUCUGUAAGCCUGUGAAGGUGGCCUGUGAGGGUUGCUGGAGGUAUCAGAAGUGCGAAUGCUGACAUAAGUAACGAUAAAGCGGGUGAAAAGCCCGCUCGCCGGAAGACCAAGGGUUCCUGUCCAACGUUAAUCGGGGCAGGGUGAGUCGACCCCUAAGGCGAGGCCGAAAGGCGUAGUCGAUGGGAAACGGGUUAAUAUUCCCGUACUUGGUGUUACUGCGAAGGGGGGACGGAGAAGGCUAUGUUGGCCGGGCGACGGUUGUCCCGGUUUAAGCGUGUAGGUGUGUGUUCCAGGUAAAUCCGGUUCACUUUAACACUGAGGCGUGAUGACGAGGCACUACGGUGCUGAAGCAACAAAUGCCCUGCUUCCAGGAAAAGCCUCUAAGCAUCAGGUAACAUCAAAUCGUACCCCAAACCGACACAGGUGGUCAGGUAGAGAAUACCAAGGCGCUUGAGAGAACUCGGGUGAAGGAACUAGGCAAAAUGGUGCCGUAACUUCGGGAGAAGGCACGCUGACAUGUAGGUGAAGUGAUUUACUCAUGGAGCUGAAGUCAGUCGAAGAUACCAGCUGGCUGCAACUGUUUAUUAAAAACACAGCACUGUGCAAACACGAAAGUGGACGUAUACGGUGUGACGCCUGCCCGGUGCCGGAAGGUUAAUUGAUGGGGUCAGCGCAAGCGAAGCUCCUGAUCGAAGCCCCGGUAAACGGCGGCCGUAACUAUAACGGUCCUAAGGUAGCGAAAUUCCUUGUCGGGUAAGUUCCGACCUGCACGAAUGGCGUAAUGAUGGCCAGGCUGUCUCCACCCGAGACUCAGUGAAAUUGAACUCGCUGUGAAGAUGCAGUGUACCCGCGGCAAGACGGAAAGACCCCGUGAACCUUUACUAUAGCUUGACACUGAACAUUGAGCCUUGAUGUGUAGGAUAGGUGGGAGGCUUUGAAGUGUGGACGCCAGUCUGCAUGGAGCCGACCUUGAAAUACCACCCUUUAAUGUUU